CUGGAAUUAGGACGAGACCCUCCCCACAAAGAUUUGACUUGUACAAAAUAGCUAUGGCUCGACCAGAAGGGACCGAGCCGUAUACCUGAGAUGAGCCCGCCCUUUGCUUGCAUACCUACAACAGUGGACCUUUAGCUAUCAUGUGUGCUAGGCCAUACCAGCUCUCCUACUCCUAAAGUAAAAGCGGACGCAUCCAGUUCCAUUUUAUGUGCCAACCCUAUUCAUCUUGAACCGACCAGUUUUUCUGCUCCGGGAGCCCGGAGCAACAUCUUUUCUCCUCACCCGAGACUUUCAAAGGGAUAGAAGUAGCUCUAAUUUGUAGCUUAGAAUUUGUUUGGAUUUAAAUUUUUUUUAAGGCCC
rnacentral:sRNA from 1 species